rnacentral:rRNA from 1 species
AUUGAACGCUGGCGGCGUGCCUAAUACAUGCAAGUCGAGCGGACAGAAGGGAGCUUGCUCCCGGAAGUUAGCGGCGGACGGGUGAGUAACACGUAGGUAACCUGCCCCUUAGACUGGGAUAACUCCGGGAAACCGGAGCUAAUACGGGAUAAUAAAGAGAAUCGCCUGAUUUUCUUUUGAAAGACGGUUUCGGCUGUCACUAAGGGAUGGACCUGCGGCGCAUUAGCUAGUUGGUAAGGUAACGGCUUACCAAGGCGACGAUGCGUAGCCGACCUGAGAGGGUGAUCGGCCACACUGGGACUGAGACACGGCCCAGACUCCUACGGGAGGCAGCAGUAGGGAAUCUUCCGCAAUGGACGAAAGUCUGACGGAGCAACGCCGCGUGAGUGAGGAAGGCCUUCGGGUCGUAAAGCUCUGUUGUGAGGGAAGAACAAGUGCCGGGGUAACUACCGGCACCUUGACGGUACCUCACCAGAAAGCCACGGCUAACUACGUGCCAGCCGCCGCCGUAA